GGGCCCUUAGCUCAGUUGGUUAGAGCAUCCGACUCAUAAUCGGCAGGUCCCGUGUUCAAGUCACGGAGGGCCCACCA
rnacentral:tRNA from 5 species